GCAUAUCAAUAAGCGGAGGAAAAGAAACCAACAGGGAUUGCCUUAGUAGCGGCGAGUGAAGCGGCAAAAGCUCAAAUUUGAAAUCUGGCGCCUUCGGUGUCCGAGUUGUAAUUUGAAGAUUGUAACCUUGGGGUUGGCUCUUGUCUAUGUUUCUUGGAACAGGACGUCACAGAGGGUGAGAAUCCCGUGCGAUGAGAUGCCCAAUUCUAUGUAAGGUGCUUUCGAAGAGUCGAGUUGUUUGGGAAUGCAGCUCUAAGUGGGUGGUAAAUUCCAUCUAAAGCUAAAUAUUGGCGAGAGACCGAUAGCGAACAAGUACAGUGAUGGAAAGAUGAAAAGAACUUUGAAAAGAGAGUGAAAAAGUACGUGAAAUUGUUGAAAGGGAAGGGUUUGAGAUCAGACUCGAUAUUUUGUGAGCCUUGCCUUCGUGGCGGGGUGACCCGCAGCUUAUCGGGCCAGCAUCGGUUUGGGCGGUAGGAUAAUGGCGUAGGAAUGUGACUUUACUUCGGUGAAGUGUUAUAGCCUGCGUUGAUGCUGCCUGCCUAGACCGAGGACUGCGAUUUUAUCAAGGAUGCUGGCAUAAUGAUCCCAAACCGCCCGUCUUGAAACACGG
rnacentral:rRNA from 1 species